rnacentral:pre_miRNA from 1 species
CGAAAUAGUUUUAUCUGGUUACUCAAAAUUAAAAUUGUCACCGGAUGAACUAUUUUGGUU